CUGCCCCCACAUUCUGUCUCCCUGGAACUUUCGUCCCUUAGAUCUUCACAUGGCUCUCUACUUAUUUUGUUGUCUCAGCUGAAUGUCACUUUCUCAGGCAGAGCUUUCUAAACACAUGAGCUAAAGUUGGGUGAAUCCAUUUCUCUCUUUUCCACAAACCUGAUGUCUUUUCUUCAGUGCACUAUUACUCUCUAACGUUAUCUUCUUUGUUAAUUGCAUAUUGGGUUAAUGUCUGUCUCCUCUAUUGUUGUGUAACUUCCAUGAGAGUCGGGACCCUCUCUAUCUUAAUCAAAUACAAUGAUUUGAACUUGGAAUGGAGCCGAGUACACAGUAGCUGCUGAGAAAAAUAAGUGUGGUUUACAUGAAUAAACCAGGGAUCUGGGAACUGAUCACUGUUUGGAUCCUGGAAAGCAAGAAGGGGCUCAAACUCCAGCACUCUUUCAUUUUGAUGUCACACUAGACCCCUUCUCCUCCCGGUGUGAAAUACAGGCAAAGUUCUUCUUUCUCCUCCUUCUAGUUGUAAGAAUUCACAGAUAAAGAUUAACAGUGAUUUAAGAAAUAAUAAAUUUUUAAAUUAAGAUUCAUCUAUUUUUUGCCUGGGUGCGGUGGCUCAAACCUAUAACCCUAGCAUGUUGGGAGGUCAAGGCUGGAGGAUUGCUUGAGUCCAGCAGUUUAAGACCAGCCUGGGUAACAUAGCAAAGUCUCAUCUCUAGCAAAAUUACAAAAAUCAGCUGGGCAUGGUUUCCUGCCUGUAGUCUCCACUACUCUGGAGGCUGAGGAGGGAGGCUCGCUUGAGCCUGGGAGGCAGAGGUUGCAGUAAGCCUAGAUCAUAACACGGAACUACAGCAUGGGUGACAGAGCCAGGCCUUGUCUCAAAAAAAGGAAAAAAUCUCUUUCAAUGGAUCUCAUAGUGCUCUGGGUCUGUGCAAGCUUUAGGAAUUUCUGGAAAUGAUGACAACAUAGCUGGGGAAAAAUAAAAACUGGAGGAAGAGGUAAGCAGACAUGGCUAAUUAAGGAAAGCUGAGGGCAUGACGGGUGAACCUAUGAAAUUUAGGACAAGACCCCAGUAAGACAAUGAGUUCCCAGGA
rnacentral:lncRNA from 10 species